rnacentral:rRNA from 1 species
ACACAUGCAAGUCGAACGGAGCUGAGAGGAGCUUGCUUUUCUUAGCUUAGUGGCGAACGGGUGAGUAACGCGUGAGUAACCUGCCCUGGAGUGGGGGACAACAGUUGGAAACGACUGCUAAUACCGCAUAAGCCCACGGCCCUGCAUCGGGCUGAGGGAAAAGGAUUUAUUCGCUUCAGGAUGGACUCGCGUCCAAUUAGCUAGUUGGUGAGGUAACGGCCCACCAAGGCAACGAUUGGUAGCCGGACUGAGAGGUUGAACGGCCACAUUGGGACUGAGACACGGCCCAGACUCCUACGGGAGGCAGCAGUGGGGGAUAUUGCACAAUGGGGGAAACCCUGAUGCAGCGACGCCGCGUGGAGGAAGAAGGUUUUCGGAUUGUAAACUCCUGUCGUUAGGGACGAUAAUGACGGUACCUAACAAGAAAGCACCGGCUAACUACGUGCCAGCAGCCGCGGUAAAACGUAGGGUGCAAGCGUUGUCCGGAAUUACUGGGUGUAAAGGGAGCGCAGGCGGACCGGCAAGUUGGAAGUGAAAACUAUGGGCUCAACCCAUAAAUUGCUUUCAAAACUGCUGGCCUUGAGUAGUGCAGAGGUAGGUGGAAUUCCCGGUGUAGCGGUGGAAUGCGUAGAUAUCGGGAGGAACACCAGUGGCGAAGGCGACCUACUGGGCACCAACUGACGCUGAGGCUCGAAAGCAUGGGUAGCAAACAGGAUUAGAUACCCUGGUAGUCCAUGCCGUAAACGAUGAUUACUAGGUGUUGGAGGAUUGACCCCUUCAGUGCCGCAGUUAACACAAUAAGUAAUCCACCUGGGGAGUACGACCGCA